UGAGCGGCGGACGGGUGAGUAACGCGUGGGAACCUGCCCAGGGCUCUGGGAUAACUGCUGGAAACGGCAGCUAAUACCGGAUACGCCGUAUUGGGAAAGAACUUCGGCCUUGGAUGGGCCCGCGUUGGAUUAGCUAGAUGGUGGGGUAACGGCCUACCAUGGCGACGAUCCAUAGCUGGUUUGAGAGGAUGAUCAGCCACACUGGGACUGAGACACGGCCCAGACUCCUACGGGAGGCAGCAGUGGGGAAUCUUAGACAAUGGGGGCAACCCUGAUCUAGCCAUGCCGCGUGAGUGAUGAAGGCCUUAGGGUUGUAAAGCUCUUUCAGCAGGGAAGAUAAUGACUGUACCUGCAGAAGAAGCUCCGGCUAACUCCGUGCCAGCAGCCGCGGUAAUACGGAGGGGGCUAGCGUUGUUCGGAAUUACUGGGCGUAAAGCGCGCGUAGGCGGAUCGGUCAGUUGGGGGUGAAAGCCCGGGGCUCAACCUCGGAACUGCCCUCAAAACUACCGAUCUAGAGUUCGGGAGAGGUAAGCGGAAUUCCCAGUGUAG
rnacentral:rRNA from 1 species